rnacentral:rRNA from 1 species
CCUACGGUGGGCAGCAGUAGGGAAUAUUGCUCAAUGGGGGAAACCCUGAAGCAGCAACGCCGCGUGGAGGAUGAAGGUUUUCGGAUUGUAAACUCCUUUUGUUAGAGAAGAUAAUGACGGUAUCUCACGAAUAAGCACCGGCUAACUCCGUGCCAGCAGCCGCGGUAAUACGGAGGGUGCAAGCGUUACUCGGAAUCACUGGGCGUAAAGAGCGCGUAGGCGGGAUAGCAAGUCAGAUGUGAAAUCCUAAGGCUUAACCAUAGCACUGCCUUUGAAACUGUUAUUCUAGAGUAUGGGAGAGGUAAGUGGAAUUCUUGGUGUAGGGGUAAAAUCCGUAGAGAUCAAGAGGAAUACUCAUGGCGAAGGCGACCUGCUAGAACGUAACUGACGCUGAUGCGCGAAAGCGUGGGGAGCAAACAGGAUUAGAUACCCCUGUAGUC